GAGAUUGUGGCUCAGCGGUAGAGCGCUCCCCUUGUACGGGCGGGACCAGAGUUUGAUCCUCAGCACCACA
rnacentral:tRNA from 1 species